UAUCUCCAACCACACACAAACUACCAACACACAAUAACCCACCGUUGGGAUCAUCCAAGUGAUACCCACCGCCACACCAUAUUGUAUGAAAGCUAAACCCUUGCAAAGUUGGGAUAGUGAACAGUGUCGUUACCGAGAUUUUGAAUUUGUUCUCGGUUAUGCAGGAAAACCACCAUCUAUCUAUUACAAACCGGACACCCCACCGUUGGAGAAUAACGAACAGUACGAUAGCGACUAGACAAAAUUUCCCCUGAAGAAGACCGACAAAACCGGUCGAAACGUCGGGCAGUUUUAAUAUAAACAUCGCUUGAUUAUUUUUAACUGACUGAGAAAGCCGACCAAUCGAAAG